rnacentral:rRNA from 1 species
AGGAUGAACGCUGGCGGCGUGCCUAAUACAUGCAAGUCGAGCGAACAGACGAGGAGCUUGCUCCUCUGACGUUAGCGGCGGACGGGUGAGUAACACGUGGAUAACCUACCUAUAAGACUGGGAUAACUUCGGGAAACCGGAGCUAAUACCGGAUAAUAUAUUGAACCGCAUGGUUCAAUAGUGAAAGACGGUUUUGCUGUCACUUAUAGAUGGAUCCGCGCCGCAUUAGCUAGUUGGUAAGGUAACGGCUUACCAAGGCAACGAUGCGUAGCCGACCUGAGAGGGUGAUCGGCCACACUGGAACUGAGACACGGUCCAGACUCCUACGGGAGGCAGCAGUAGGGAAUCUUCCGCAAUGGGCGAAAGCCUGACGGAGCAACGCCGCGUGAGUGAUGAAGGUCUUCGGAUCGUAAAACUCUGUUAUUAGGGAAGAACAAAUGUGUAAGUAACUAUGCACGUCUUGACGGUACCUAAUCAGAAAGCCACGGCUAACUACGUGCCAGCAGCCGCGGUAAUACGUAGGUGGCAAGCGUUAUCCGGAAUUAUUGGGCGUAAAGCGCGCGUAGGCGGUUUUUUAAGUCUGAUGUGAAAGCCCACGGCUCAACCGUGGAGGGUCAUUGGAAACUGGGUACCAUUGAAUCAAAAA